AGCGAACGCUGGCGGCAGGCCUAACACAUGCAAGUCGAACGGAUCCUUCGGGAUUAGUGGCGGACGGGUGAGUAACACGUGGGAACGUGCCCUUUGGUUCGGAACAACUCAGGGAAACUUGAGCUAAUACCGGAUGUGCCCUUCGGGGGAAGGAUUUAUCGCCAUUGGAGCGGCCCGCGUCUGAUUAGCUAGUUGGUGGGGUAAAGGCCCACCAAGGCGACGAUCAGUAGCUGGUCUGAGAGGAUGAUCAGCCACAUUGGGACUGAGACACGGACCAAACUCCUACGGGAGGCAGCAGUGGGGAAUCUUGCGCAAUGGGCGAAAGCCUGACGCAGCCAUGCCGCGUGAAUGAUGAAGGUCUUAGGAUUGUAAAAUUCUUUCACCGGGGACGAUAAUGACGGUACCCGGAGAAGAAGCCCCGGCUAACUUCGUGCCAGCAGCCGCCGUAACAC
rnacentral:rRNA from 1 species